ACCGGCGGGUGUAGCGCCCCGCUGUGAUCUGAGCAGAGGUCGGGUUGGUGGAGAUGUGGUGCUGGGGUGUUGUGGGGCGCCGGAAUCGUGGGGAUCGUGAUCCGCCCCGACGAUCCCGCAGCCUGCAGCAGGCGAUCCCACGGAGGUGGGGACGUCGCUGUAGAUAAUGAGGCCCGGAACGCCUAAGGCUGGAAACAGAGCAGGGAAAAGGGCCCGCUGUGGUGCAGUGAAGGGACAACGGAACUGCCCCUCUGGCUCGCCAGCACAGCAACCGCCCCCUCCACACCAACCUUU
rnacentral:SRP_RNA from 1 species